AGGAUAAUAAGCUAAUUUAAGCUAUCAGGUUCAUACCCUGCUAAUAGAGGAAAGGAGACCUCUUUAUCCUA
rnacentral:tRNA from 1 species